rnacentral:misc_RNA from 1 species
GAGCAGUGGAAAUGGUCCGAAAUGCAAGGUCUUGAACUCGUGUCUCCUGCUCCUCCUUCUUCUGACCCCUUUAAAACCAACUCUGCUCCUUCCACUCCUCCAACUCCAACUCUAACAAUUAACUCAAAACAAUACCAUUACCAACAACAAGAAGAGGACAACCAUCAAAAUCAUCAAGAAACUGUACUUGAGAGAAGAGUAAUGGAUAACACCACCCCAAAGAAUGCUAGUAGUGGCAAUGGAGAGAAGCCAGAAGAUGUUGCCACUGUCGGGUUUAGAGAGCUG